GCCUGGGUGGCUCAAUCGGUUGAGCUUCUGACUUCGGCUCAGGUCAUGAUCUCACGGUCGGUGAGUUCGAGUCCCGCAUCGGGCU
rfam:Felis catus isolate Cinnamon breed Abyssinian chromosome D2, whole genome shotgun sequence.